UUCGCAAUGCCCGAAAGGGUGACGCAGCAACGCCGCGUGAGGGACGAAGGCCUUCGGGUCGUAAACCUCUUUUGCACGGGAAGAUAGUCUGUCUCGUGAAGAGGGGCUCGACGGUACCGUGCGAAUAAGCCCCGGCUAACUACGUGCCAGCAGCCGCGGUAAUACGUAGGGGGCGAGCGUUGUCCGGAUUUAUUGGGCGUAAAGAGCGCGUAGGUGGCUUGUCAAGUCGUGCGUGAAAUCUCCACCGCUUAACGGGGAGAGGUCGCUGGAAACUACCGAUCUGGAGUUCGGCAGAGGACCAUGGAAUUCCAGGUGUAGCGGUGGAAUGCGUAGAUAUCUGGAAGAACACCGGUAGCGAAGGCGGUGGUCUGGGCCGAAACUGACGCUGAGACGCGAAAGCUAGGGGAGCAAACGGGAUUAGAUACCCCGGUAGUCCUAGCCGUAAACGAUGGGCACUAAGUAGAGGGGUUUU
rnacentral:rRNA from 1 species